rnacentral:rRNA from 1 species
UGGCGGACGGGUGAGGAAUACAUCGGAAUCUACUCUGUCGUGGGGGAUAACGUAGGGAAACUUACGCUAAUACCGCAUACGACCUACGGGUGAAAGCAGGGGAUCUUCGGACCUUGCGCGAUUGAAUGAGCCGAUGUCGGAUUAGCUAGUUGGCGGGGUAAAGGCCCACCAAGGCGACGAUCCGUAGCUGGUCUGAGAGGAUGAUCAGUCACACUGGAACUGAGACACGGUCCAGACUCCUACGGGAGGCAGCAGCC